UACGGGGGGAGCAAGCGUUGUUCGGAUUUAUUGGGCGUAAAGCGCGCGCAGGCGGUCUUUUAAGUCUGAUGUGAAAGCCCACGGCUCAACCGUGGAGGGUCAUUGGAAACUGGGAGACUUGAGUGCAGAAGAGAAGAGUGGAAUUCCACGUGUAGCGGUGAAAUGCGUAGAGAUGUGGAGGAACACCAGUGGCGAAGGCGACUCUUUGGUCUGUAACUGACGCUGAGGCGCGAAAGCGUGGGGAGCAAACAGG
rnacentral:rRNA from 1 species